CCUACGGGAGGCAGCAGUGAGGAAUAUUGGUCAAUGGACGAGAGUCUGAACCAGCCAAGUAGCGUGAAGGAUGACUGCCCUAUGGGUUGUAAACUUCUUUUAUAAAGGAAUAAAACGAGGCACGUGUGCCUUUUUGCAUGUACUUUAUGAAUAAGGAUCGGCUAACUCCGUGCCAGCAGCCGCGGUAAUUCGGGAGAUCCGAGCGUUAUCCGGGUUUAUUGGGUUUAAAGGGGGCGUAGAUGGGGUGUUAAGUCAGUUGUGAAAGUUUGCGGCUAAACCGUAAAAUUGCAAUUGAAACUGGCAGUAUUGAGUGCAGUUGAGGUAAGCGGAAUGCGUGGUGUAGCGGUGAAAUGCUUAGAUAUCACGAAGAACCCCGAUUGCGAAGGCAGCUUACUAAACUGUGACUGACAUUGAUGCUCGAAAGUGUGGGUAUCAAACAGGAUUAGAUACCCUAGUAGUC
rnacentral:rRNA from 1 species